GAGUUCUUACGUUAUGCUAUUGAUGCCAUGCAGAGAGCUUGUCUGGGUGGAAUCAGCAACUUGGACAUCUCUUCCGAAUCGACUACUAUCAUCCACCAAAUAUUUGGGGGCUUUCUGAGAUCCAGAGGCAGCCUCAACUGUCACCGCAGCGCUGACGGACUUCGUG